AAUACCGUAUACGCCCUUCGGGGGAAAGAAUUUCGGUGAGGGAUCGGCCCGCGUUAGAUUAGUUAGUUGGUGGGGUAAUGGCCUACCAAGACUACGAUCUAUAGCUGGUUUGAGAGGAUGAUCAGCAACACUGGGACUGAGACACGGCCCAGACUCCUACGGGAGGCAGCAGUGGGGAAUCUUAGACAAUGGGGGCAACCCUGAUCUAGCGAUGCCGCGUGAGUGAUGAAGGCCUUAGGGUCGUAAAGCUCUUUCGCCUGUGAUGAUAAUGACAGUAGCAGGUAAAGAAACCCCGGCUAACUCCGUGCCAGCAGCCGCGGUAAUACGGAGGGGGUUAGCGUUGUUCGGAAUUACUGGGCGUAAAGCGCACGUAGGCGGAUUAGUCAGUCAGAGGUGAAAUCCCAGGGCUCAACCCUGGAACUGCCUUUGAUACUGCUAGUCUUGAGUUCGAGAGAGGUAAGUGGAAUUCCGAGUGUAGAGGUGAAAUUCGUAGAUAUUCGGAGGAACACCAGUGGCGAAGGCGGCUUACUGGCUCGAUACUGACGCUGAGGUGCGAAAGUGUGGGGAGCAAACAGGAUUAGAUACCCUGGUAGUCCACACCGUAAACGAUGAAUGCCAGUCGUCGGGUAGCAUGCUAUUCGGUGACACACCUAACGGAUUAAGCAUUCCGCCUGGUGAGUACGGUCGCACGAUUAAAACUCCAAGGAAUUGACGGGGGGCCC
rnacentral:rRNA from 1 species